GGGAUGAUAGGAACUAAGGUAUCAUAUUGCCGAUUAUGCUGAAAAAAUGUCAAUAAAAACUACCGAAACAACCGAAAUAUUUACAAGUAUAAGCUAUCACUCCGUGUUUACACAGCCACCAUUUUUAUUUUUUCAGCAUAAUCAACAAUGUGAUACCUUACUUCCCAUCAUCCCCUGCACGCACAAACUAAAAGCUGGAAUUGCCUAUUUGCUGAAUAAGGGGCUGUUUAUAUGAUACCACUUUGCCAGGAUGAGAUAUAAGGCGGCAUGAUUUGGAUGUAUUGAAAUAAGUCAUGGUGCAUAAUUCAGCAAAAAUCUUCAUUAAUUUCUAGAGAUAGAUUAUAGUUACCUGUAAAUGAAAGGUUGUUCAAGCAGCAAUAAUAAUCUUCUUGAACUACAAGAUCUUUUCUACAAUAUUUGAGUUCUCUUAACCAGCAUUUGAACUAUCGUUCGGCCUAUUGACUUAUUUCAAUACAUGAAAAUCAUCCCACCUUAGCACCUUCCAUCAGGUAAACAGCCCCUAAGAUGCCUAUUCAGGAGGUAGGAAAAGUGCAAUAAUUUGAAUAUCAAACACCUUGCACAAAGUUAAAGGUCAGCUAAAUAUUCGAAUUCUACUCUCUUGGCAUGGGCGAUUUUAUACGAAUACCUAUGCUUAUAAUUUGUUGCUUCUGUGUGUAUAAUUGUAAUAUUGUCGGUGGUGAAGCUUGCCAUAGCAACAGGUCAUGCUAUGCAAGUUUUUAAUGAUUUGCAUUGCAGGCUUAUUAGCAUAGCAUGACCAGUUGCCAUGGCUAGCUUGCCACUAAUACUGUACAAUACCAUAUGUAUAAACAAGAAUAAUCACUUGAAUGAAUCAUUGGACAUGUAGAAUUCAAUAACAAUUCAUAUAUAGAAAAACUAAGUCAGUUUUUGUCGCAAUUAUCGUUUUAAUGGCACCAUCAAGGCUACCCCUGUUGCAGAACAACUGAACAAUCUGCUGAUGGGGAGACAAAAUCUAUUUGUUGACAUUUUUGUUUAACACGUCAGCUUCAGAUGACACCAUUCAUUUGUAAUGACUAAGAUUGUACUCAGUAAGAACUGCAAAACUAUAUAAUAAGAACGAAAUUGUGAGCAUUAUCGAAAAAUAUAGUAUACCCUGUCACCCUGAAAUGUAGUGACACAGCCAGGUGAAUAUAUGAGUAGGCCGGUAGGAUCAUUUCAUAUUGUGCUAACAAUGGACAUACCUCAGAGAUAUAAACAUACCAUCAUACCUUGUACAAAAGUCAGUUGGCUAUUACAUGUAAGUUGUAACUGCUGGUUAUUAUUAUUGCCUUUAUUUAUAGGGUCCGCUAAAGUAUAUG